rnacentral:rRNA from 1 species
ACACAUGCAAGUCGAACGAGAAUCUAUGGAUCGAGGAUUCGUCCAAGUGAAGUAGAGGACAGUGGCGGACGGGUGAGUAACGCGUGAGGAACCUGCCUUUCAGAGGGGGACAACAGUUGGAAACGACUGCUAAUACCGCAUGACACAUAGAGAUCGCAUGGUUUUUAUGUCAAAGAUUUAUCGCUGAGAGAUGGCCUCGCGUCUGAUUAGCUAGUUGGUGAGGUAACGGCCCACCAAGGCGACGAUCAGUAGCCGGACUGAGAGGUUGACCGGCCACAUUGGGACUGAGAUACGGCCCAGACUCCUACGGGAGGCAGCAGUGGGGAAUAUUGGGCAAUGGGCGCAAGCCUGACCCAGCAACGCCGCGUGAAGGGAGAAGGCUUUCGGGUUGUAAACUUCUUUUGUCGGGGACGAGUAGAAGACGGUACCUGGCGAAUAAGCCACGGCUAACUACGUGCCAGCAGCCGCGGUAAUACGUAGGUGGCAAGCGUUGUCCGGAUUUACUGGGUGUAAAGGGCGUGUAGCCGGGAAGGCAAGUCAGAUGUGAAAUCCACGGGCUUAACUCGUGAACUGCAUUUGAAACUGUUUUUCUUGAGUAUCGG